CCUACGGGUGGCAGCAGUGGGGGAUAUUGCACAAUGGGGGAAACCCUGAUGCAGCGACGCCGCGUGUGGGAAGACGGUCCUCUGGAUUGUAAACCACUGUCCCCAGGGACGAAGAUGACGGUACCUGGGGAGGAAGCUCCGGCUAACUACGUGCCAGCAGCCGCGGUAAUACGUAGGGAGCAAGCGUUCGCCGGAAUUACUGGGUGUAAAGGGAGCGUAGGCGGGAUGGGAAGUUGGGUGUUAAAUCUACCGGCUCAACUGGUAGUCGCACUCAAAACUGCUAUUCUUGAGUGAAGUAGAAGCAGGCGGAAUGCCUGGUGUAGCGGUGAAAUGCGUAGAUAUUAGGAGGAACACCAGUGGCGAAGGCGGCAUGCUGGGCUUUUACUGACGCUGAGGCUCGAAAGUGUGGGGAGCGAACAGGAUUAGAUACCCGUGUAGUC
rnacentral:rRNA from 1 species